UAACUGCGUAACAACAAUAAGUAGAAUGCAACAGAUGAACAUGAAUCGCGCAUACGUUACAGUGAAAGUGGUCGGUGAUUGAGUAAAGUCGUUAUUUUAUUUAUUCAGAAAGAGGAACUUUAUACCGGAAUACAAAUAAAUUUCCAACUACUUUUCUUUAGUACGGUUUUGCAAAAAGUCACGUGUGAUUUUACUCAAUCAGCCGAUCACUUUCACUGUAACGCGUAAAAUUUCUGUGAAAUAAACUUUAUAUUCCAUAAACUCAGUAUGCAUUAAGAAAAAAAUACUUGAAAAUUUAUUUGUGGGAUAUAAACAAAUUUAUAGGAUAUAAGUAAAUUUAAAAUAUCAUAAAUAAAUUUUUAAACAUUUUUUCAGUGUUUAUUUGAUGAUUCUACGAAAAAUCUUGCCAAAAGUUAAAUCGUGUUUAUUUGAUGAUUCUACGAAAAAUCUUGCCAAAAGUUAAAUCGUGUUUAUUUGAUGAUUCUACGAAAAAUCUUGCCAAAAGUUAAAUCGGUAAGUUAUUCACAGAAAUAAACUUUAUUUCAUAAAA